AGAGUUUGAUCCUGGCUCAGGACGAACGCUAGCGGCGGGCUUAACACAUGCAAGUCGAGCGAGAAAGCCAUCUUCGGAAGGUGAGUACAGCGGCGAACGGGUGAGUAACGCGUAGGCAAUCUGCCCCGGGGUGGGGGACAACCCGUCGAAAGACGGGCUAAUACCGCAUGAGUUCCUCAGAUCGAUUGGUCAGAGGAAGAAAGAUUUAUCGCCUUGGGAUGAGCCUGCGUUCCAUUAGCUUGUUGGUAGGGUAAUGGCCUACCAAGGCUACGAUGGAUAGCUGGUCUGAGAGGAUGAUCAGCCACACUGGGACUGAGAUACGGCCCAGACUCCUACGGGAGGCAGCAGUGAGGAAUAUUGCGCAAUGGACGAAAGUCUGACGCAGCCACGCCGCGUGUGGGAUGAAGCCCUUGCGGGUGUAAACCACUGUUAGGAGGGACGAGUGCCCUGGUUUUGCCAGGGAGUGACGGUACCUCCAAAGAAGGCUCCGGCUAACUCCGUGCCAGCAGCCGCGGUAAUACGGGGGGAGCAAGCGUUGUCCGGAUUCACUGGGCGUAAAGAGCAUGUAGGCGGGACUGUAAGUCAGGGGUGUAAGCCCGGAGCUUAACUCCGGAAUGGCCUUUGAAACUGCAGUUCUUGAGUUCGGUAGAGGAAAGCGGAAUUCCAGGUGUAGCGGUGGAAUGCGUAGAUAUCUGGAAGAACACCGGUGGCGAAGGCGGCUUUCUGGCCCGAAACUGACGCUGAGAUGCGAAAGCGUGGGGAGCAAACAGGAUUAGAUACCCUGGUAGUCCACGCUGUAAACGAUGGACACUAGAUGUUGGGAGAUUCGACCCUCCCAGUGUCGUAGCUAACGCGUUAAGUGUCCCGCCUGGGGAGUACGAUCGCAAGGUUGAAACUCAAAGGAAUUGACGGGGGCCCGCACAAGCGGUGGAGCAUGUGGUUUAAUUCGAUGCAACGCGAAGAACCUUACCUGGGCUUGAACUGCAAAGGAAACCUCCUGAAAGGGAGGCCUCCUUCGGGAUCUUUGUAGAGGUGCUGCAUGGCUGUCGUCAGCUCGUGUCGUGAGAUGUUGGGUUAAGUCCUGCAACGAGCGCAACCCUUGCCGUUAGUUGCCAUCAGGUUAUGCUGGGCACUCUAACGGGACUGCCAGCGUUAAGCUGGAGGAAGGCGGGGAUGACGUCAAGUCCUCAUGGCCCUUACGUCCAGGGCUACACACGUGCUACAAUGGGUGGUACAAAGGGUCGCAAUACCGCGAGGUGGAGCCAAUCCCAUAAAACCAUCCUCAGUUCGGAUUGCACUCUGCAACUCGAGUGCAUGAAGGCGGAAUCGCUAGUAAUCGUAGAUCAGCACGCUACGGUGAAUACGUUCCCGGGCCUUGUACACACCGCCCGUCACACCAUGGAAGUCGGGAGUACCCGAAGUCGGUUCAUUAAUAGGGCUGCCGAAGGUAAACUCGAUGACUAGGGUGAAGUCGUAACAAGGUA
rnacentral:rRNA from 1 species